rnacentral:rRNA from 1 species
GAUGAACGCUGGCGGCGUGCCUAAUACAUGCAAGUCGAGCGAACAGACGAGGAGCUUGCUCCUCUGACGUUAGCGGCGGACGGGUGAGUAACACGUGGAUAACCUACCUAUAAGACUGGGAUAACUUCGGGAAACCGGAGCUAAUACCGGAUAAUAUAUUGAACCGCAUGGUUCAAUAGUGAAAGACGGUUUUGCUGUCACUUAUAGAUGGAUCCGCGCCGCAUUAGCUAGUUGGUAAGGUAACGGCUUACCAAGGCAACGAUGCGUAGCCGACCUGAGAGGGUGAUCGGCCACACGGGAACUGAGACACGGUCCAGACUCCUACGGGAGGCAGGAGUAGGGAAUCUUCCGCAAUGGGCGAAAGCCUGACGGAGCAACGCCGCGUGAGUGAUGAAGGUCUUCGGAUCGUAAAACUCUGUUAUUAGGGAAGAACAAAUGUGUAAGUAACUAUGCACGUCUUGACGGUACCUAAUCAGAAAGCCACGGCUAACUACGU